rnacentral:misc_RNA from 1 species
AACGCAUAUUGCGCUCUUUGGUAUUCCGAAGAGCAUGCUUGUUUGAGUAUCAGUAAACACCUCAAAGCCUUUUUUUUUAUUAAGAAAGAUUUUGGACUUGAGCAAUCCCAACACUUUAUUUACUAGAGUGGCGGGUUGCUUGAAAUGCAGGUGCAGCUGGACAUUCUCCUGAGCUAAAAGCAUAUUCAUUUAGUCCCGUCAAACGGAUUAUUACUUUUGCUGCAGCUAACAUAAAGGGAGUUUGACCAUUUUGGCUGACUGAUGCAGGAUUUUCACAAGAGUCUUCAAACCACUCUUGUUAAACUCGAUCUCAAAUCAAGUAAGACUACCCGCUGAACUUAA